UGCUUACACAUGCAAGUCGAACGAUGAAGCCGCUUCGGUGGUGGAUUAGUGGCGAACGGGUGAGUAACACGUGGGCAAUCUGCCCUUCACUCUGGGACAAGCCCUGGAAACGGGGUCUAAUACCGGAUAAUACUCUGUUCCGCAUGGAACGGGGUUGAAAGCUCCGGCGGUGAAGGAUGAGCCCGCGGCCUAUCAGCUUGUUGGUGGGGUAAUGGCCUACCAAGGCGACGACGGGUAGCCGGCCUGAGAGGGCGACCGGCCACACUGGGACUGAGACACGGCCCAGACUCCUACGGGAGGCAGCAGUGGGGAAUAUUGCACAAUGGGCGAAAGCCUGAUGCAGCGACGCCGCGUGAGGGAUGACGGCCUUCGGGUUGUAAACCUCUUUCAGCAGGGAAGAAGCGCAAGUGACGGUACCUGCAGAAGAAGCGCCGGCUAACUACGUGCCAGCAGCCGCGGUAAUACGUAGGGCGCAAGCGUUGUCCGGAAUUAUUGGGCGUAAAGAGCUCGUAGGCGGCUUGUCACGUCGGAUGUGAAAGCCCGGGGCUUAACCCCGGGUCUGCAUUCGAUACGGGCUAGCUAGAGUGUGGUAGGGGAGAUCGGAAUUCCUGGUGUAGCGGUGAAAUGCGCAGAUAUCAGGAGGAACACCGGUGGCGAAGGCGGAUCUCUGGGCCAUUACUGACGCUGAGGA
rnacentral:rRNA from 1 species